rnacentral:rRNA from 1 species
CACACCGCCCGUCACGCCAUGGGAGUUGGUUUCGCUUGAAAGCGCUGUGUUAACCGCAAGGAGGCAGGCGCUAAUGGCAAAACCGAUGACUGGGGUG